rnacentral:rRNA from 1 species
UACGUAGGGUGCGAGCGUUGUCCGGAAUUACUGGGCGUAAAGAGCUCGUAGGUGGUUUGUCGCGUUGUUCGUGAAAACUCACAGCUUAACUGUGGGCGUGCGGGCGAUACGGGCAGACUAGAGUGCUGUAGGGGAGACUGGAAUUCCUGGUGUAGCGGUGGAAAUGCGCAGAUAUCAGGAGGAACACCAAUAGCGAAGGCAGCUCGCUGGGACGUUACUGACACUGAGGCGCGAAAGCGUGGGGAGCGAACAGG